AACAGGAUUAGAUACCCUGGUAGUCCACGCCGUAAACGGUGGGCGCUAGGUGUGGGGACUGGUUCCACGGUUUCCGUGCCGUAGCUAACGCAUUAAGCGCCCCGCCUGGGGAGUACGGCCGCAAGGCUAAAACUCAAAGGAAUUGACGGGGGUCCGCACAAGCGGCGGAGCAUGUGGAUUAAUUCGAUGCAACGCGAAGAACCUUACCUGGGUUUGACAUGCACUGGAUCGCCCUAGAGAUAGGGUUUCCCUUGUGGCUGGUGCACAGGUGGUGCAUGGCUGUCGUCAGCUCGUGUCGUGAGAUGUUGGGUUAAGUCCCGCAACGAGCGCAACCCUUGCCCCAUGUUGCCAGCGGUUCGGCCGGGGACUCGUGGGGGACUGCCGGGGUCAACUCGGAGGAAGGUGGGGAUGACGUCAAGUCAUCAUGCCCCUUAUGCCAGGGCUUCACACAUGCUACAAUGGCCGGUACAGAGGGUGGCGAGACCGUGAGGUGGAGCGAAUCCCAGAAAGCCGGUCUCAGUUCGGAUCGGGGUCUGCAACUCGACCCCGUGAAGUCGGAGUCGCUAGUAAUCGCAGAUCAGCAAUGCUGCGGUGAAUACGUUCCCGGGCCUUGUACACACCGCCCGUCACGUCAUGAAAGUCGGUAACACCCGAAGCCCAUGGCCCAACCCCCGUGUGGGGGAGGGAGUGGUCGAAGGUGGGACUGGCGAUUGGGACGAAGUCGUAACAAGGUAACC
rnacentral:rRNA from 1 species